CAAGUGAAGGGCACUAUACUUGAGUUACCCUUGUAGAUGCUCUUAAUACAGCUGCGGAAUGGCUUCCAUCACUGUGGUUUCUGCUGACGCCGCCGAAGACCGUACGCCGCUUCUCCAAGAUUCUUACACGGAAUAUUCCGGCGGAGAGGGGUAUACUAUACCACCGGCGCCGCCGCCGCCGCCUAUUAUUUCAAUCGAUCCUAAGCAACGCCUUGUAUCGCUUGAUGUUUUCCGAGGACUCACUGUUGCUUUGAUGAUAUUGGUUGAUGAUGCUGGAGGAGCAUUUCCGUCAAUAAACCAUGCGCCGUGGUUCGGAUUGACUCUCGCAGACUUUGUUAUGCCGUUUUUUCUCUUUGGAGUUGGUGUUUCUGUCAGUCUCGUCUUCAAGAAAGUAGAAAACAGAUUAGAAGCCACGAAGAGAGUAAUGUCAAGAUCGAUCAAGCUCUUUCUCCUGGGAAUGAUCCUUCAAGGUGGUUAUUUUCAUGGCCGCGGAGAUUUAACUUAUGGAAUUGAUGUGGAGAAAAUACGAGUAAUGGGUGUGCUACAGCGAAUUGCAAUUGGGUAUUUGCUGACUUCAGUGUUGGAGAUCUGGCUUGUUAACAACACUGCUGUUAAUUCAACAAUAACAUUCAUGAAGAGAUAUUCUUUUCAGAUUGUGGCCGGGAUUUUAGUUGGUGUACUGUACAUGGUUCUGCUGUAUGGCCUCUAUGUUCCAGACUGGAACUUUAAUGCAUCAAGUCUCAGCAUGACUCAACAAACACUACUUGGUGCUAAUUCUCAAACUGUCUAUUGUGGAAUAAGGGGUAGUCUUGGACCUCCUUGCAAUGCAGUUGGCUUCAUUGAUCGAGUUAUUGUCGGUGAAAACCAUCUGUAUCAACGUCCUGUAUAUAGAAGAACCAAGGAAUGCAGUGUCAAUUCGCCAGAUUAUGGUCCUCCACCACCAAAUUCCCCUGCAUGGUGUCUUGCUCCAUUCGAUCCAGAGGGCAUUUUAAGCUCUUUGAUGGCUGCCAUUACAUGUCUGGUUGGGUUGCAUUACGGGCACAUUCUUGUGCACUGUAAGGUAAUAUGUAUUUUCUUCUUCCUUGCACACGUGGAUGGAGUCCCGUUGUUUGUCAUAUUCUGGUGUCCAAUUUUUUUCUUGCAGGAUCAGAAGCAGAGAAUAAUUAUCUGGUUUAUAUCAUCUCUCCCUCUUCUUAUCUUGGGCUAUCUUUUAAAUGUCACAGGCAUUCCUCUUUCUAAACCACUAUACACAUUAAGCUAUAUGUUUGUCACAGCAGGAGCUUCUGGUGUUGUUUUAACCGUUAUCUAUUUUAUCGUAGAUACAAGAUGCAUUAGGAAGCCGACUCUAUUAUUUCAGUGGAUGGGAAUGAAUGCGCUGAUAGUUUAUGCUCUGGCUGCUUGCGAUAUAUUUCCAGCCGCCGUUCAAGGUUUCUACUGGCGUUCGCCCGAAAACAAUCUGGUGCUGAAAACAACCAUGUCCAAGCCAACAAUUUCACUUCAUACCUUCCAAUCUGUGAUGAUUCUCUGAAGCCAUAUGUAGGCCAAACUUUCAAUUCAGUAGAUGAUGCGUUUGACUUCUAUGCACUAUAUGGAUAUUCAUCUAGAUUUGAUGUUCGGAGAGGCACGACCAAAAAAGGUAAAUAUGAUCAGAUACCAUAUCAGAUAUUUUUUUGCAUCAGGGAAGGGAUUAACCCCGGCAAGAAUGAGAAGCAUCCAGAAAAUCAGCCGAAAACUACUAAGAGGCGACGUAAGCCAUCUACCAGGAAUGCCUGUCGUGCACGGGUCAUAACUAGAAUAUUGGAUGGGGGUGAAUUCAUUAUUAGCAGAUUUGAUGAAGUUCACAAUCACAAAUUAAUAUCUCCAGAUUGUCGUCACUUAAUGAAAUACAAUCGGAAGGUUGAUCCUAGCGUGAUACUGAUGAUCAGUUCAAGUGUGAGUACCUUCUCGACGAAUGUCAUAAGGUGAAGAGCAUAUUCUGGAGCGACGCCGUUGGGGUUCAUAACUACAAGGUAUUUGGAGAUUCUGUUUCAUUUGAUGCCACAUAUACUACAAACCGGUACGACAUGAUAUUUGCACCAUUCACGGGGAAGGAUAACCAUGGCGGUUGCGUUACAUUUGCAGCUGGGUUACUAACGAGGGAAGAUGUGAGUUCAUACUCUUGGAUCCUCAAACAAUUUGUAGACUGCAUGGGUCACACUCCAACUAUGUUGAUAACAGACCAAGAUCCGGCACUAAAGAUUGCCGUUGAGAAUGUUAUGCCGGCCACAAGACACAGAUUCUGCAUGUGGCACAUAAUGAUGAAGGUGGCUAAGAAGCUUCCAAUUUCUCUUCAGGAUAAUGCUGAGUUGACGAGCAAUUUAUAUGAAGUUGCGUGGUCGGAGAUCGACGAGCCUAGUGCAUUUGAAGAGAAGUGGACAGAGGUUAUAAAUGAAUAUGGUUUGGCAGACCAUUCUUGGUUUUCAGAUAUGUUUUCUCUGCGCAAGUACUGGAUUCCAGCAUAUUUCCGUGAUUUAAGAAUGAGCGGCCUAUUUAGAACGACGUCGAUGUCGAAAAGCGAGAAUAGUUUCUUUCGUAAGUACUUGAAUUGGCAUUCUAACUUGGCCGCAUUCUACAUCCACUACGAAAGUGCAAUGCAGGCUCAGAGGCACUCCUACAAACAGCUGUGCAUGAUCGACCAAACAACCACUCCUAAAUUGAAGACAAACAAGCCCAUAGAGCAGCACGCAAGUCGCAUCUAUACCUCGAAGAUUUUUUUGGAAGUACAGGUUGAAAUCGUUGAGGCAUUCAACCGUUGCCGCACAAGAUCCAUGGAUACAGGACAUGAAGAACAUAGAUAUGCAGUUGAUGAUCGAUCCAGUGGUGUUUUCAAUGUUGCUCAUAAUACGUUAUCGGACACCAUAGAUUGCUCAUGCAAACAUUUCUUGAAGAAGGGAUUGGUAUGCAGGCAUAUGUUUGUGGUUAUGCAUAACAUUGGUCUCAAUGCUAUUCCUCAAAAGUACAUUCUUGGAAGAUGGAUGCAGAAUGCAGGAGUAGGUGUGAUGUCUAAUACUCAGACACAAGCAUCCAAUAAGCCUUUAAUGUCUGAGGCGUUUAGGUGCAUUGCAAUUGCUGAUGGGAAUGAGGCUUUAUCUGUGUCCCUAAUAGCUGAACUCAAGAGAUGGGCAGACGCGAAUCAACCUCAAUCUUCAACGUCUGUAAAUGCCAAGGAAAGAAUGUUCCAAACAUUUUAUGGUGCCAAACUGCCCACGAAAAUAACUAUUCAUCCUCCUGAUCAUGUUAAGACCAAAGGUAGUGGCAAGCGGCUUAAGUCAACCUAUGAGAAAGAGCUUGAGAAGGCCAAGAAACCGAGGAGACGGUGCCAGAAGUGUGGCUUUAUGGUGCGUCACGACUCGCGUAAUUGUGGCAAAGUAGUCGAGGAGGACAGUGAAGAGGAGUAAGAAGGAUUUUUUAAUUUCAAUGUUGCUCAGUUACAUUGAGUUUUGUUAGCACGAUAAAUUGAUUAUUAUCUUCUUUAUUGACAAGGCUUUUCAAUAGUACAAGU